AGUGAAAAUCUUGGAUGGCCAAGCUGAAGUUGGAAUGCGAGAAGUAUUGAAGAGAAACAGUCAUGAAAUGGUGCUCUGCAAAGAGCUGAAGGUUUUCAGGUAAAAAACAAUGUGGAAUUGCUUGCUAAAUCUAUUAAGAAACAAGAUGAAGUCAAAUCAGAUAGUAAAAAGAAGUUGGCGGAACCCAUCGAUGAAUAGGAAAAGAGAAAGGAAUAACAACAGAAAACGAGAAAAGCCAACAUUAAGAAAAAGAAAACUGAAAAGAAAGAACAUAAACUGAAUGAACACCUCACACCUAACAGGGAAAAAGCUGGAAUUGUCUGAUAAGACAACGAAAAUCAAACUUAAACGGAAGUUAGAGGGGAUGAAGAAGAAAUUAAAAAGGAAAAAUAAGAAGAAGAGGUCCUGAAUUGCCAAAC